GGUAAAUCGGUGCCGACAGCGUGGGGAAUGCAGGGGUGGCAAGCAUUAAUCGGAAUUAUUGUGCGUAAAGGGCGCGUAGGCGGGAAGAUAAGUCAGAUGUGAAAUUCCAAAGCUCAACUUUGUAGCUGCAUUUGAAACUAUGUUUCUAGAGGAUUGACGGAGAAAACGGAAUUCCACGUGUAGCGGUGAAAUGCGUAGAUAUGUGGAAGAACAUCGGUGGCGAAAGCGGUUUUCUAGUUUAUACCUGACGCUGAGGCGCGAGAGCAAGGGGAGCAAACAGGAUUAGAUACCCUAGUAGUC
rnacentral:rRNA from 1 species